rnacentral:sRNA from 1 species
GUGACUGGUGACAGAGUGAGGGAGUGGGUGACUAGUGACAGAGGGAGGGAGAUAGGGGUGACUAGUGACAGAGUGAGGGAAUGGGUGACUAGUGGCAGAGUGAGGGAGGGAAGAGAUGACUAGUGGCAGAGUGAGGGAGGGAAGAGAUGACUAGUGGCAAAGUGAGGGAGGGAAGGGGUGACUAGUGACAGAGUGAGGGGGGGUGACUGUCACUAGUCACCCCAUCCCUCUCUCUGUCACUAGUCACUCCCUCCCUAACUCUGUCACUGUGUCACCCGCUCCCUCACUCUGUCACUGUGUCACCCGCUCCCUCACUCUGUCACUGUGUCACCCGCUCCCUCUCUCUGUCACUAGUCAC